UCCACAAAAAUCAAUUAUUCGACAUAUGCGUAUCUCAGCAAAUAUUGAUAAGCCCCUGUCUAUUGACCAAUUAGAGACCAGAUUUUGUGCCGUAGUCAGAAGGGCGCGCUGAUAAGAGCGAGAUAGUAGGGUUUCACUUCAUUGCUUAGAGGCUGUAAAAGCAGAUAAACACGAAGGUGAAAAGUUGAGCAUUUGGAAGAGUAAUGAUGUCAAGUGGCCCAUGAAAGCGCUGAGGUCAGAAGAAUGAAUGAUGUUGAAGUGUGGCAUGUUCAGGAGAACCAAUCGGAGGAGAGACUGACUCGGGCAGCCAGAACUCCUGCUGAAAGCUCAGAGGCUUUGACCUGUGAGGUGUGAGGAUCGUGCAGCUAUGGGACAGACGUGGCCUGACCCCAACAACAGGGCAGCGGGGACACAAUCUGCUCUGAGACCCACUCCUGUGCUCAUCGGUCAUCAUGCAACGGUCACUGAAUGAGAAGCUAUUCUGUGAAGAUACGGCAGUGUCCCGGGGAGAGAUGGGAAGGGUUGAUAACCAUGCACACGCUCACACACACAAGCACAGACAGUCGAGGAGCUGAUUAUGCUUUCCCUUGCUGUGAGCCACCUCUCAGAUGCAGUCGAUAGCCAAACAUCCAGAAUAUGUUUUUGCUAGUUUGCAUUACUGCAUUUGCAUUCUUAAAAAAGUUCUGUCAGGGUUCUCUCAAAGACAAGUUAUGAACAAACAUGAUGCUAUAGAACAUAUCUGAAAGUUAUCCGGUUGUCAAUAAUGUUCUCGAAACCUUAGCACAAAAACAUUAUUUACACAUCGCUCAUGGAAGGUUGUUUAGUUUUCAGUUGGACAUUAGUCUAAUGCUUUUUAAAUGUUACUUUUAUUUGUUUCAGAAUGUUUGGGGAACAUUCAAAUGUAUC